UGGGUGAGUAACACGUGGGCAAUCUGCCCUAAAGACUGGGAUACCACUUGGAAACAGGUGCUAAUACCGGAUAACAACAUGAAUCGCAUGAUUCAAGUUUGAAAGGCGGCGCAAGCUGUCACUUUAGGAUGAGCCCGCGGCGCAUUAGCUAGUUGGUGGGGUAAAGGCCUACCAAGGCAAUGAUGCGUAGCCGAGUUGAGAGACUGAUCGGCCACAUUGGGACUGAGACACGGCCCAAACUCCUACGGGAGGCAGCAGUAGGGAAUCUUCCACAAUGGACGCAAGUCUGAUGGAGCAACGCCGCGUGAGUGAAGAAGGUUUUCGGAUCGUAAAGCUCUGUUGUUGGUGAAGAAGGAUAGAGGCAGUAACUGGUUUCUAUUUGACGGUAAUCAACCAGAAAGUCACGGCUAACUACGUGCCAGCAGCCGCGGUAAUACGUAGGUGGCAAGCGUUGUCCGGAUUUAUUGGGCGUAAAGCGAGCGCAGGCGGAAUGAUAAGUCUGAUGUGAAAGCCCACGGCUCAACCGUGGAACUGCAUCGGAAACUGUCAUUCUUGAGUGCAGAAGAGGAGAGUGGAACUCCAUGUGUAGCGGUGGAAUGCGUAGAUAUAUGGAAGAACACCAGUGGCGAAGGCGGCUCUCUGGUCUGCAACUGACGCUGAGGCUCGAAAGCAUGGGUAGCGAACAGGAUUAAAUACCCUGGUAGUCCAUGCCGUAAACGAUGAGCGCUAGGUGUUGGGGACUUUCCGGUCCUCAGUGCCGCAG
rnacentral:rRNA from 1 species